CUAUUUGGAAACAGCCUCUCUACCCCUGGGUAGAGGUAAGGUCCGCGUACAUAUUACCCUUCUCAGACCCCACUAAGUGAGAUUAUAUUGGAUUGUUAUUGUUUGUUAAUGUUAGUAGGAAUGGUAAGGGAAUAUCACAUGGGUGGAUUCGUACCCUCACCAUAUGAUAGAAGGACGAGGGGCACACACUAUGUCAAUUACCUUCCAAUUAUGUCGCAACUUUAAAUCUUAUGGUCACACACUAUGUCAAUUACCCUCUAAUUUUGUCGCAAGUUUAAAUCUUAGUUGUUAGUCUUGUCACAAUGAUAUUCUAAUCAUUAAAAAAUCAUAAUUUGAAUGACAGAAUCACAAGUUUAAAUAGUUAUUUUCGAUAAUCAUUUUGUACUUUCAGUAAACUAAGCGAAACAAACAAAGUAACGAAGAAGUUUGAUGAAUUGAUUGAUACAAUAACAUUUGAAGUGUAUGAUCUUUCGUCAAAGGAAGAAGGAAAGUCUAGAUUUGAAGCUUGUGGAUUCUAACUUAAUUAUCGAACAUGCUGUCCAUUUUAGUUAUUGGUUUCAUAGUUAAAAUUUUAAAUAUAAUUUUAAAAAUAUUAAUAUAAAAUAGAAUUUAAGUAAAAGCUAUUAGAUUUUUUUGAAUCCGUACCUCAAACUCUAACUCCGCCUUAAUCAAAUGCAACAGUUGGUGAAUUUCAACUAUGCAAUUAAUUUUUUUUUAUGUUAGUAUUAUUUUAAUGUGCUAUUAUUCAUACAAAUAGUAGUCAAUUAUUCUCUGUUUCUUUUUCUUUUGCACAUCGUCAGGCCAGGUUUGAGGGGCCAUACCUUUGACAUUAACAAAGUACAAAGAUUGUGUGGAUUUGUAAAGUGCAAAUGUAAACCACUACAUUAAACGAUUAACCUCUCAACCUCAUACCAAAAUAAUACAGGACUUUUUCCCAUUUUUAGUCCAUUUUUAACUUAGUUCUCAAGGAAACUACAAUGCAACAACAACAACAACUAUCCAAUAUAGUCCCAUAAAGUGGGUAAGGAAACUACAAUAUAGAAAGAAGAAAAAAACAGCUAUGCAAUCUGUGGAAUUACUAGAGCGAGAAAAUUUAUUCACAUCCGGUAUUUAUAUUAAAUUAAUUAUUAUAUAAAAAAAGGGCAGUCUGAUGUACCAAGCUUCUGUUAUGCGUGAGAUCCGGAAAAGGGCCAGACCACAAGAGUUAUUGUAUGCAGUCUAACCCUGCAUUUCUAAAAGAGGAUGUUUCUGACAACAACUUUACCAAUUACGCCAAGACUCCCUUUCAAACUAACGAUUAUAUGCUUAAUGAUAAUAAACUAAUAUGGUUUGAUAUAAGCACAAGCUGUAAACAAUAUUUUCCCAGACUUCUUCACUACCAUUAUGAUAAUGUACUAUUACUGCCUAAAUGAUCAACUAAACACAUUACAGAGUAGGUUCAACAAAACUAAUGCCUUAAACUUUUUCUAUGGAUUUUGUUAUUGCAACUAAACAUUUUACCUAAACCAUUUCAUCUGCUCCACUUAAUAGGAAGCUUGUAACUAAACUAUUUAUACUCAGUUAGCCUACACUCAUUCAUCACCAACAAGCAUCUGCUCAAUUCUUCAUUUGCCUCUUCUCAUCAAUCAUCAUAUAGCAACAUUCACAAGCAAAAAAUGGUCAAAUUUUCCCAACUCUGCUCUAAAACAUUCCAAUUCACCUUUUGCAUUUUGCUAUUAACCCUAUCAUUUGACAUCGCUACUCCAGCGAGAAUCCUCGAUGAGGUGAGCUCAGAUGAACCUGUUGUUGCUCCUGUGGUGGCCCCGGCCACCACAUUGCCAAGUGGCCACUUUCCAGCCACAGUUACCGCUCCUGAUUCGAACUCGGAACCUAUAGAGGGUGAUGAUUCUUCUAUUCCUGCAAACACUGUGGCUCCUUCAGCUGAUUUUCCAACCGAACCCGAGCCUGAUACAGCUCCUGUCGUUUCCCCAUCUGCUCCAGUGACUCAUGCUGCUGAUGCAACAACAAACACUGGAGCAACACAUGUUACCAAUGAGGCACCAGAAGCCGCUGGUACGUCUGGUGCCACAGUGGCAAAUCCUAUUCCAGAGGGCCACUCAACGUUCUCAUUCUUCAUGCAUGACAUACUUGGCGGUACACACCCGUCAGGAAGAGUGGUCACUGGAAUUGUAGCCAACACGGAUGCCAACAAUUUACCUUUCUCAAAAGAAAACAACCAAGUCUUCCCAAUCGACGGUGGUGUUCCCCUCAACAACAUCAACAACAUUGUCAACAACAACAAUUAUCCUUUCCUAGUAGGCCUCAACGGACAACAACAAUCCAACACUGUCCUACAAAACACAGGCAACAACAACAUUGUCGACAGCGGGGACAACCAACCUUUUGUCACAGCCGGGCAACUCCCUACUGGCCUAUCCCUUCAACAACUCAUGUUCGGAUCAAUUACUGUUGUAGACAAUGAAAUAACAGAAGGACAUGAAUUGGGAUCAGCUAUUCUUGGUAGAGCACAAGGAUUUUACUUGACGAGUUCUUCGGAUGGGACGAGUCAUACUUUAGCUUUAACAACAUUGUUCCAUGGGCAGCAUGAACAUGAAGUGGAUGAUACUAUUAGUUUCUUUGGUAUUCACAGGACCGCGACGCCAAUUUCUCACAUUGCUAUUAUUGGAGGUACUGGAAAAUAUGAGAAUGCUAAAGGGUAUGCUACAAUUGAAACUCUGCCUCAUGUGGAUCAACAUACAACUGAUGGUGUUGAAACUAUUACACACUUCACUGUGUACAUUACCCCUUAAAAAAGUGUUUGUUCUAAGAGAAGGGGCUUAUUUAUUAUGUUUGGUUUUCUGUAUUUCUGAUUCUUCACACUUCGGUUUGAUGAACUUUUCAUGUAAUUGUAUGGUUAAUUCUGAUUAAUGUUAUGAUAUAUAUUAAAGCUUUUAAUUUACUUGGUCCAAAAGAAGAGGAACUUCGGGCGUAAAUGGUAAAAUUAUUGUCAUGUAACCAGGAGGUCACGGGUUCAAAUAGCAAAACCAACCUCUUCUAGAAAUCUAGACCCUUGUGGUCUGAUUCUUCCUCUGAUCUCGUCCAUCGUAGUGUACCGGGCUGCAUUUUUUUUAAUCUACAAUUGUCGAAUUUGUGAUUUGGCUGUCAAUAAUUGCUUACCUACAAGUUUAGAAUAUAAGAAAGUGUUCAGUGUUAAAGAAUAGCGAAAGGUAAUGACUAAUUUUUAGUUAAGAAAUUGAUAUGAUUUCUAAUUUUACAAGGAUCUUACGAAAAUGUGAUAACAGAUUUAAGAGUUUUUGUUACUUGGGUUUUGCAUAAUAUUCGUACAUUAUAAAUCAUAAUAUAACAACUAAAAUUAGGAAUAAUAUGUUAGCAAUAUAUACUAUUAAUCAUGAGUUUGAUUUAGAUAUACUCCCUCCGGUCCAAAAUAAGUGAGUUUUUGGCCCUUUUUUGUGGUCCAAAAUAAGUGAUUUUUCCAGAUUUCAAGAAUGAAAGUUCUUCCUUGAUCCCGUCCAUAAUGAAAGCUUAGUGUAUCCGGCUGCAUUUUUUUUAAUCUACAAUUGUCGAAUUUGUGAUUUGGCUGUCAAUAAUUGCUUACCUACAAGUUUAAAAUAUAAGAAAGUGUUCAGUAUUAAAGAAUAGCGAAAGGUAAUGACUAAUUUUUAGUUAAGUAAUUGAUAUGAUUGCUAAUUUUACAAGGAUCUUACGAAAUUGUGAUAACAGAUUUAAAAGUUUUUGUUACUUUGGGUUUUGCAUAAUAUUCGUACAUUAUAAAUCAUAAUAUAACAACUAAAUUAGGAAUAAUAUGUUAGGGAUAUAUACUAUUAAUCAUGAGUUUGGCUUAGAUAUACUCCCUCCGGUCCAAAAUAAGUGAGUUUUUGGUCCCUUUUUGUGGUCUAAAAUAAGUGAUUUUUCCAGAUUUCAAGAAUGAAUUAAUUAUUUUUUUCCUACGUUAUCCUUGGAAUAAAUAGUGUUGGAAUAUGUGUUAGGAGUGUUUAUAUGAGAUAGUAAAGGUUAAUAUAGUCAAUUUUAUUGCUAAUUAAUGCUACAAGGUGGAUUCUUAAUAUAUGUGAAAAUAUCCAAAAAAUCACUUAUUUUGGAACGGAGGGAGUAGUAUUUAAUAUGAAGCAAUUGUUUAUCUAGUUUUAAUAAAGUUUUAAAUAAAUCAUAUAUUAGUCUAUGUCCUUUGCUAUAUAGUAGAUGAUUUAGUAUAUACACAGAAAGAUUAAAUCAUCGGUUCUUAUAAGUAUAAAGUUUGACACAAUCUAAUGAUAGAAUUGGACAAACCAUCAGGAAUGAUUGUAGCAUAAGAUGAAAUAUAAUUUAUUUUGAUUAUGAGAAUGGUUUAAUUCCAACUUCUUGUGCUAGUAUAUUUUGUAUGUAUUGAAUAGACCAAGUAGAGAUAAGUAUUUUAUACUGACUUAAUAAAAUAAACUCUCUAGCCAUUAAAUGUNNNNNNNNNNNNNNNNNNNNNNNNNNNNNNNNNNNNNNNNNNNNNNNNNNNNNNNNUAAUAAAAUAAACUCUCUAGCCAUUAAAUGUACUUAUACUCUUAAUCUUGAUAUAAUUAUUAUUAGCUGUGUAUAUUAUUAUUAUUUUAAUUUAUUAAAAUACGAGAUUCUUUCGUGGGUCAAUAUGCCUGGUAAAUUGGAUAAUAAUAAUGUACAUUGGCGAAAUAAUAGUUAGAUGAUGGAAUCCAUAUCUCGGUUUAGAGAUUGAUGAUACACCUUUAUGAAAGCUUAUAAGUUUUCAUGUGUAAACCUGGUAGAUGGAUUUUGUAUCUGAUACAUGAAAUAAGUUAAGUGAAAGUCUAAAGGAAAUAAUUAAUAAAUUAAAUCGUCAAUAAUUUAAUUUAAUUGAUUAGUAGCUGAAUCUUAAUAUGGGGAUUUAAAUAAGAUUUAAUGGAUGAAUAUAAAAUUGAAUAAGGAGUGCAAUUACAAAUUCUAAGUGGAAUAAUUCGUAAUCAAUUAUGGUGGAUAUUAAUUUUGAAAUUACAAAUUAAUUCCAUAAUUGGAAGCCUUGUUAAUUAAAUUAUGUGGUCCUACUGUGCCUAGAUAAUAAGAAAUAAAGGAAUCAUUUUUCUGGUGGAAAAGAAAACCCAACAGGUUUUGGAAAAUGGUUUUAACCCUUAAAACUUGUGCUAUAAAUACAUAAGGUUUUCCACCUAGAGAGAUGAGCACAUGGUGGCCGAAUUUCAGCCUUUUUCCUUUGAAAAUUUUGCCCACAUGAAAUUGUUAUUUUCAGGUAUUAUUUGGGUAACACAGUAGAAGACCGUGGAACGUUCGAAGACUGUGAUCGUGCGGGUGGUGAAGAAUUUAUUGAGUUGAUGUGGAAUUGAAAGCUCACGUGAUAAAGGAGCUUUGUUCACGCUUUAAGAAGUAACCCGUGAAAUCCUGUUUAUGGUAGUUGUUUAGAUUACAUGUGAUUUUAAUACUAGGAUUGCUUUCACUGCUUAUUAUAAUUCAUCAAUUGGUAUAAGAGCUCACUCACAUCUAAUUAAAUAACUAAGUUGUUUUAUGAAACAAGAAUAUCGUGUUUAUGUGCGUUUUUAAUUACAUAUAUAUGUGGUUUUUUGAAAACUACACUACUGUUUUGUGAAUUAAAUUUGUAAAAAAUUUAGAUUAUUCUUGUAGUAAUGAGAUAUCUGUUUUCUAUUGAUAUUUGAUUAGGAUAAUUUGGAUAUUUUUUUGCAAAACCUUAGAAAAACACAAAACUUGAUUUUGAUCGAAUUGCCGGUAAUUUUGGAGGUUAGCGAACAUGACGAACUCCGAUUGAGCUGAAAUUUUGUAAGUACAUCGGAGGCGACGUGGUGAGAAAAACUAAUUGCUUUAGCAGGGAAUCAUGGCGCGUUUUAAUAUCAUUUGUACUGUAUUUUGGACGUUUUUCUAUUUUCAAAAAAUUAUUUCUUAAUAAUUUUAGUUUGGUUUUAAUUCAAUGAUGAUGGGGAAAACUCCCCUGGUCUCCAUGAUUAAAUGCUAAUUAUUUACACAUUGGCUAUUAGUAAAUAUACGUAUUGUUGUAUUAAAUUCAAUAAUAGAGGUGUAGGGUUUUAUUGACUAGGUCUUACAAGGUAUAUUGAUAUUGUGUGAUGAUAUAAUUAUUUUUUAAGAAAGUAAAAUCCUCUAUAUCCUAGAUGACUAAAAAUUGGAGCGUUUGGCAUUCUGUGCAUAAAAAAUUCUCAAAUUUUAGUUUAUGUUUUCAUGCCCUACGUGAUUACUAGUCUUGGAUUUUUGAUGAAAAAUUUGUUCUCUGGUUGGAGGCUGUAAUUAAGUGAAAUAUGAUAAUAUUUUUUAUAAGUUUAUAUUAUUGGCAUGUCUUUUAAGCCGUGGUCCAUAAUCUGUAAUAAAAUAAUUAUAUGAGCUACAUGUGUCUUCACUUGUAAAUUGAGAAUUUUGUGAGUAAUAAAUAGUUGCCACUAAAGUGAUUUGUUUAUUUGGACUCAUGAAUAUUUUUUAAUAAAUUUGUACAUGUGAAAUUGUGUCUAUUCAUGGAUUGAGCAUUAUGAUCAAUAAGUAGGAUCUACAAAAUGGUCUAUUUAUUUGAGUCAUUGAAAUCUGCUUAAUGUACCAUGUGAAAAUUAUCCUUGAUAAAUCUACAUUAGUGGUGGAGGUUCUUAACUAUAAAAAGGAGUUUUAACUUUGGGUACUAGUGAGACCACCUCCACCCAUGAGAAGAGAUAUUAAGUUUUUUCCCGAACGAUACAAAACAUAAUAUCUUAGGUUCUUGUAUAUUUUAUAAAAGGAUAAUUUAUUGAAAAAAGUGAUAUUAUGUAUCAUAGAAAUAGGAAGACCAUAAUAUAUGGCUUGAGCUCAUAGUAUAAUUAUAAGGAAAAUGAAAAUCAAUAUCAUAUUUAUUUUAAUUCAUGAAAUUACUUAAAACGGUUAUUUUUCUGACUUUGGUUACAGGCUGAUGGUCAUGAAUUUGACGGACUCCGAUUGACCUGAAACUUGGUAGGUUCAUCAAAAAUGAUCCAUUGAGAAAAACUUACGGCUAUGCAGUAAAUCAUGUUGUUUUCGGUAUUUUGAGAUCGUUUAGAUGAAUUUUCAAGCAGUUUAUUAAAUAGAAUUUAUUAUAAAUAUGAAAAAUUAUUCUUUAUAUAUCGGUUAUAUUUGUGUUAAAUCUGAAACAUGAUGAUUUAACUUAAUAUGUUGUCGUGCGCCCUUUUUCCUUCACAGGGAGAAGUCCGGGUUUCGACAUUCACGGGGUAUAAUGACUCAUUUCCUUUUAAGAAUUCGGUAUUUCAAGAGUCGCCACCUAACGAAUCAAGGUGCAUCGGGGAACCUAGAGUAAUUAACUCUUGGGUUGGUUUGCAUUAUUAGAGAUUAGGGUAAGGCUCGAAGUAACCUCAAGGGGAAGGUGUUAGGAACCCCUCUUGGUCCACAACUGUGGGUCCCGACCAAACUUAUAUUUACAAAUUUGUCCAUACAAAUAGUUGAAUCAAAUAGGUUGUUUGCAAAGCACAUUGAGCAAUUUAUGUAGUGAAAUAAAGACUUGAACAAAUUAUAUAAAAAAAGUUUAAAUAAGGAGAGGAUUUGGGAUAAGGAGAGGUCCUAGGUUAUUUAUCCUAUAGGAUCGCCCCACGCAAUGUCCAGUGAACACUCCUCAAUGAGGGGCUACAUGUGACAUUAACGCGUCGUUAUUAAAUUCCAUGUCUAUCCUUCACAUCCCCUUAUUGGUUAUGCAAAGCGAGUGUUUGGUCUCUGAUUCCUAUUUCGUGUUGCUACUCAUCCCCUUUAAUAGUCCCGGAGAGUGUCAGGACCUCUUAUUAUGGGUAGUACUAGACGUACCCCUAAGGUUUAUAAAGGUAAAAACUCUAAGGCGACAGUUAAAAUAUUUAGGACUUUCACAUAAUGGGAGCAAUUAAGAGGCUCACAGUUUCCUCCUAAAACAUACAUACAAGCAGCAUGUCUCAAGCACAAUUAAGGUCUUUAUUAAUUAAAGUCCUAAAGCAGGAUUCUCUAUGUGAAUAUGCAGGAGCAGACCAAACUUUAUACCUAGAAGUUAUAACUUAGCAUUUGCCUAAGGACUUCUUUUAAAAGCUAUGAGGAUUAGAAACGUUAAACAUCAGAAACAACUUCAAAGAAUGCAGAUUUUGGGAAUGUCCUAAGACUUGCCUAUAUGUAGUAUAUUGUGUUUUUGUUAAUGCAGAAGCAAACAGGUUCUCAAAAUAGACCUUUUAAUACAUAUAUGCAGGAUGUCUAAUGAGAUUAAAGCAAUUUUGAAAUAACUGAUUUCAGGAAAUAUUGACACUUAAUAAGACUAGUUUAAGAAGUAAACUAGGCGAAAUGAAAUUGAUUUAUUAGGCUAAUUAUAUUAUCAGACAUAACUGCGAAUGAAAAUUCCAAUAGGCAUGGCAUCUAGGCUCAUUACAAGUUUUAGUUAAUUUACGGUAACAUGAGGAAAGACUUAUUAGAACUAAAUCGGAAUCGAGUCCUAUAUGAAUGGUAUGUAUACUUGAAUUUGAUUUAAGACAUGAUGGUUUGGAACCUAUAAACAUGAUCUCUAACAUUGGAAGUGAAACCUUAUAGGCGUGAUUUCUAUUUGAUGCAAACGAAAUUAGAGGUGAAAUUCUAUGGACAUGAUUUCUAUUAUGCAAACAAUGAUUAUAUGCUUAAUCAUAAUAAACUAAUAUGGUUUGAUAUAAGCACAUGCUGUAAACAAUAUUUUCCCAGACUUCUUCACUACCAUUAUGAUAAUGUACUAUUACUGCCUAAAUGAUCAACUAAACACAUUACAGAGUAGGUUCAACAAAACUAAUGCCUUAAACUUUUUCUAUGGAUUUUGUUAUUGCAACUAAACAUUUUACCUAAACCAUUUCAUCUGCUCCACUUAAUAGGAAGCUUGUAACUAAACUAUUUAUACUCAGUUAGCCUACACUCAUUCAUCACCAACAAGCAUCUGCUCAAUUCUUCAUUUGCCUCUUCUCAUCAAUCAUCAUAUAGCAACAUUCACAAGCAAAAAAUGGUCAAAUUUUCCCAACUCUGCUCUAAAACAUUCCAAUUCACCUUUUGCAUUUUGCUAUUAACCCUAUCAUUUGACAUCGCUACUCCAGCGAGAAUCCUCGAUGAGGUGAGCUCAGAUGAACCUGUUGUUGCUCCUGUGGUGGCCCCGGCCACCACAUUGCCAAGUGGCCACUUUCCAGCCACAGUUACCGCUCCUGAUUCGAACUCGGAACCUAUAGAGGGUGAUGAUUCUUCUAUUCCUGCAAACACUGUGGCUCCUUCAGCUGAUUUUCCAACCGAACCCGAGCCUGAUACAGCUCCUGUCGUUUCCCCAUCUGCUCCAGUGACUCAUGCUGCUGAUGCAACAACAAACACUGGAGCAACACAUGUUACCAAUGAGGCACCAGAAGCCGCUGGUACGUCUGGUGCCACAGUGGCAAAUCCUAUUCCAGAGGGCCACUCAACGUUCUCAUUCUUCAUGCAUGACAUACUUGGCGGUACACACCCGUCAGGAAGAGUGGUCACUGGAAUUGUAGCCAACACGGAUGCCAACAAUUUACCUUUCUCAAAAGAAAACAACCAAGUCUUCCCAAUCGACGGUGGUGUUCCCCUCAACAACAUCAACAACAUUGUCAACAACAACAAUUAUCCUUUCCUAGUAGGCCUCAACGGACAACAACAAUCCAACACUGUCCUACAAAACACAGGCAACAACAACAUUGUCGACAGCGGGGACAACCAACCUUUUGUCACAGCCGGGCAACUCCCUACUGGCCUAUCCCUUCAACAACUCAUGUUCGGAUCAAUUACUGUUGUAGACAAUGAAAUAACAGAAGGACAUGAAUUGGGAUCAGCUAUUCUUGGUAGAGCACAAGGAUUUUACUUGACGAGUUCUUCGGAUGGGACGAGUCAUACUUUAGCUUUAACAACAUUGUUCCAUGGGCAGCAUGAACAUGAAGUGGAUGAUACUAUUAGUUUCUUUGGUAUUCACAGGACCGCGACGCCAAUUUCUCACAUUGCUAUUAUUGGAGGUACUGGAAAAUAUGAGAAUGCUAAAGGGUAUGCUACAAUUGAAACUCUGCCUCAUGUGGAUCAACAUACAACUGAUGGUGUUGAAACUAUUACACACUUCACUGUGUACAUUACCCCUUAAAAAAGUGUUUGUUCUAAGAGAAGGGGCUUAUUUAUUAUGUUUGGUUUUCUGUAUUUCUGAUUCUUCACACUUCGGUUUGAUGAACUUUUCAUGUAAUUGUAUGGUUAAUUCUGAUUAAUGUUAUGAUAUAUAUUAAAGCUUUUAAUUUACUUGGUCCAAAAGAAGAGGAACUUCGGGCGUAAAUGGUAAAAUUAUUGUCAUGUAACCAGGAGGUCACGGGUUCAAAUAGCAAAACCAACCUCUUCUAGAAAUCUAGACCCUUGUGGUCUGAUUCUUCCUCUGAUCUCGUCCAUCGUAGUGUACCGGGCUGCAUUUUUUUUAAUCUACAAUUGUCGAAUUUGUGAUUUGGCUGUCAAUAAUUGCUUACCUACAAGUUUAGAAUAUAAGAAAGUGUUCAGUGUUAAAGAAUAGCGAAAGGUAAUGGCUAAUUUUUAGUUAAGAAAUUGAUAUGAUUUCUAAUUUUACAAGGAUCUUACGAAAAUGUGAUAACAGAUUUAAGAGUUUUUGUUACUUGGGUUUUGCAUAAUAUUCGUACAUUAUAAAUCAUAAUAUAACAACUAAAAUUAGGAAUAAUAUGUUAGCAAUAUAUACUAUUAAUCAUGAGUUUGAUUUAGAUAUACUCCCUCCGGUCCAAAAUAAGUGAGUUUUUGGCCCUUUUUUGUGGUCCAAAAUAAGUGAUUUUUCCAGAUUUCAAGAAUGAAAUACUUAUUGUUUUUUCCUACAUUAUCCUUGGAAUAAAUGUGUUGGAAUAUAUAUUAGGAGUGUUUAUGUGAGAUAGUAAAGGUUAAUAUAGUCAAUUUCAUUGCUAAUUAAUGCUACAAGGUGGAUUUCUUAAUAUAUGUGAAAAUAUCCAAAAAAUCACUUAUUUUGGAACGGAGGGAGUAAUAUUUAAUAUGAAGCAAUUGUUUAUCUAGUUUUAAUAAAGUUUUAAAUAAAUCAUAUAUUAGUCUAUGUCCUUUGCUUAUAUAAUAGAUGAUUUAGUGUAUAGAGUUUAGUGUAUACACAGAAAGAUUAAAUCAUCGGUUCUUAUAAGUAUAAAGUUUGAGUUCACAAUCUAAUGAUGGAAUUGAACAAACCAUCAGGAAUGAUUGUAGCAUAAGAUUAAAUAUAAUUUAUUUUGAUUAUGAGAUUGGUUUAAUUCCAACUUCUUGUGCUAGUAUAUUUUGUAUGUAUUGAAUAGACCCAGUAGAGAUAAGUAUUUUAUACUGACUUAAUAAAAUAAACUCUCUAUCCAUUAAAUGUACUUAUNNNNNNNNNNNNNNNNNNNNNNNNNNNNNNNNNNNNNNNNNNNNNNNNNNNNNNNNNNNNNNNNNNNNNNNNNNNNNNNNNNNNNNNNNNNNNNNNNNNNNNNNNNNNNNNNNNNNNNNNNNNNNNNNNNNUCAUGGAUUGAGCAUUAUGAUUAAUAUUGGAUAAUAAUAAUGUACAUUGGCGGAGUAAUAGUUAUUUGAUGGAAUCCAUGUCUCGGUUUAGAGAUUGAUGAUACACCUUUAUGAAAGCUUAUAAGUUUUCAUGUGUAAACUCGGCCGAUGGAUUUUGUAUCUGAUACAUGAAAUAAGUUAAGCGAAAGUCUAAAGGAAAUAAUCAAUAAAUUAAAUCGUCAAUAAUUUAAUUUCAUUGAUUAGUAUCUGAAUCUUAAUAUGGGGAGUUAAAUAAGAUUUAAUGGAUGAAUUUAAAAAAUGAAUAAGGAGUGCAAUUAAACAAAUUCUAAGUAGAAUAAUUCGUAAUUAAUUAUGGUGAAUAUUAGUUUUGAAAAUUACAAAUUAAUUCCAUAAUUGAAAGCUUGUUUAUUAAAUUAUGUGGUUGUACCGUGCCUAGAUAAUAAGAAAUAAAGGAAUCAUUUUUUUUGUGGAAAAGAAACCCAACAAGUUUUGGAAAAGGGUUUUAACUCUUAAAACUUGUGCUAUAAAUACAUAAGGUUUUCCACACAGAGGGAUGAGCACAUGGUGGCCGAAUUUCAGCCUUUUUUCCUUAGAAAAUUUUGCCCACAUGAAAUUGCUAUUUUCAGGUAUUAUUUGGGUAACACAGUAGAAGACCGUAGACGUUCGAAGACUGUGAUCGUGCGGGCGGUGAAGAAUUUAUUGAGUUGAUGUGGAAUUGAAAGCUCACGUGAUAAAAGAGCUUUGUUCACGCUUCAAGAAGUAACCCGUGAAAACCCGUUUAUGGCAGUUGUCUAGAUUACAUGUGAUUUUAAUACUAGGAUUCCUUUCGUUGCUUAUUAUAAUUCAUAGUUGGUAUCAGAGCCCACUCACGUCUAAUUAAAUAACUAAGUUUUUUAUGAAACAAGAAUAUCGUGUUUAUGUGCGUUUUUUAAUUACAUAUAUAUGUGGUUUUUUGAAAACUACACUACUGUUGAAUUAACUUUGUAAAAAAUUUAGAUUAUUCUUGUAGUAAUGAGAUAUCUGUUUUUAUUGAUAUUUGAUUAGGAUAAAUUUGGAUAUUUUUUUGGUAAACCCUAGAAAAACGCAAAGCCUGAUUUUGAUUGAAUUGCCGGUGUUUUUGGAGGUUAGUGAACUUGACGAACUCCGAUUGAGCUGAAAUUUUGUAUGUCCAUUGAAGGCGACGUGGUGAGAAAAACUAAUUGCUUUAGCAGUGAAUCAUGGUGCGUUUUAAUAUCAUUUGUACUGUAUUUUGGACGUUUUUCUAUUUUCAGAAAAUUAUUUCUUGAUAAUUUUAGUAUGGUUUUAAUUCAAUGAUGAUGGGGGAAAAUCCCCUGGUCUCCAUGAUUAAAUGCUAAUUAUUUACCCAUUGGCUAUUAGUAAAUAUACGUAUUGUUGUAUUAAAUUCAAUAGUAGAAGUGUAAGGUUUUAUUGGCUAGGUCUUACAAGGUAUAUUGAUAUUAUGUGAUGAUAUAAUUAUUUUUUAAGAGAGUAAAAUCCUCUGUUUGAUAUCGUAGAUGACUAAAAAUUGGAGCGUUUGGCAUUCUGUGCAUAAACAAUUUAUCAAAUUUUAGUUUAUGUUUUCAUGCCCUACGUGAUUACUAGUCUUUGAUUAUUGGCAUGGCUUUUAAGUCGUGGUCCAUAAUCUGUAAUAAAAUAAUUAUAUGAGCUACAUGUGUCUUCACUCGUAAAUUGAGAAUUUUGUGAGUAAUAAAUAGUUACCACUAAAGUGGUUUGUUUAUUUGAACUCAUGAAAUUUUUUAAAUAAUUUUGUACAUGUGAAAUUAUGUCUAUUCAUGGAUUGAGCAUUAUGAUUAAUAAGCAGGAUCUACAAAAUGGUCUAUUUAUUUGGGUCAUUAAAAUCUGCUUAAUGUACCAUGCGAAAAUUAUCCUUGAUAAAUCUACAUUAGCGGUGGAGGUUCUUAACUAUAAAAAAGAGUUCUAAUUUUUGGUACUAGUGAGACCACCUCCACCCAUGAGAAGAGAUAUUAAGUUUUUUCCCGAACGGUAGAAAACGUAAUAUCUUAGGUUCUUGUAUAUUUAGUAAAAGGAUAAUUUAUUGCAAAAAGUGAUAUUAUGUAUCAUAGAAAUAGAAAGACCACAAUAUAUGGCUUGAGCUCAUAGUAUAAUUAUAAGGAGAAUGAAAAUCAAUAUCAUAUUUAUUUUAAUUCAUGAAAUUACUUUAAACGGUUAUUUUUCUGAGUAACCACAGGCUGGUGGUCAAGAAUUUGACGGACUCCGAGUAACCUGAAACUUGGUAGGUUCAUCGAAAACGAUCUAGUGAGAACAAAUUACUGCUAUGCAGUAUAUCAUGUUGUUUUUCGGUAUUUUGAGAUCGUUUAGAUGAAUUUUCAAGCAGUUUAUUAAAUUGAAUUUGUUAUAAAUAUGAAAAAUUAUUCUUUAUAUAUCGGCUAUAUUUGUGUUAACUAAAAAACAUGAUGAUUUAACUUAAUAUGUGUCGUGCGCCCUUUUUCCUUCGCAGGGAGAAGUCCGGGUUUCGACAUUCACGGGGCAUAAUGACUCAUUUCCUUUUAAGAAUUGGGUAUUUGAAGAGUGGCCACCUAACAAAUUAAGGUGCAUCGGGGAACCUAGAGUAAUUAACUCAUGGAUUGGUUUGCAUUACUAGGGAUUAGGGUAAGGGCUCGAAGUAACCUCGAGGGGAAGGUGUUAGGCACCCCUCUUGGUCCACAACCAAACUUAUAUUCACAAAUCCAUACAAAUAGUUGAAUCAAAUAGGUUGUUUGUAAAGCACAUUGAGCAAUUUAUGUAGUGAAAUAAAGGUUUGAAGAAAUUAUAUAAAAAAAAGUUUAAAUAAGGAGAGGAUUUGGGAUAAGUAGAGGUCCUAGGUUAUUUAUCCUAUAGGAUCGCCCCACGCAAUUUCCAGUGAACACUCCUCAAUGAGGGGCUACACGUGACAUUAACGCGUAGUUAUCAUAUUCCAUGUCUAUCCUUCACAUCCCUUAUUGGUCAUGAAAAGCGAGUGUUUGGUCUCUGAUUCCUAUUGCGUGUUGCUACUCAUCCCCUUUAAUAGUCCCGGAGGGUGUCAGGACCUCUUCUUAUGGGUAAUUCUAGACGUACCCCUAAGGUUUAGAAAGGUAAAAACUCUAAGGCGACAGUCAAAAUAUUUGGGACUUUCACAUAAUUGGAGCAAUUAAGAGGCUCAUAGUUUCCUCCUCAAACAUACAUGCAAGCAGCACGUCUCAAGCACAAUUAAAGUCUUUAUUAAUUAAAGUCCUAAAUCAGGAUUCUAUAUGUGAAUUUGCAGGAGCAUACCAAACUUUAUACCUAGAAGUUAUAACUUAGCAUUUGCCUAAGGACUUCUUUUAAAAGCUAGGAGGAUUAGAAACGUUAAACGUCAGAAACAACUUCAGAGAAUGCAGAUUUUGAGAAUGCCCUAAGACUUGCCUAUAUGCAGUAUAUUGUGUUUAUGUUAAUGCAGAAGCAAACAUGUUCUCAAAAUAGACCGUUUAACACAUAUAGGCAGGAUAUCUAAUGAGAUUAAAACAAUUUUGAAAUAACAGAUUUCAGGAAAUGUUGACACUUAAUAAGACUAGUUUUAAGAAGUAAACUAGGCGAAAUGAUAUUGAUUUAUUAGGCUAAUUAUAUUAUCAGACAUAAUUGCAAAUGAAAAUUCCUAUAGGCAUGGAAUCUAGGCUUAUUACAAGUUUUAGUUAAUUUAUAGUAACAUGAGGAAAGACUUAUUAGAACUAAAUCGGAAUCGAGUCCUAUAUGCAUGGUAUCUAUACUUGAAUUUGAUUUAAGACAUGAUGGUUUGGAACCUAGAAACAUGGUCUCUAACAUGACAAAUGCAUAAUAUUAUGGAUAUGGUUUCUAUCUGACGCAAAGGACGUUGGAAGUGAAACCUUAUAGGCAUGAUUUCUAUUUGAUGCAAACGAAAUUAGAGGUGAAAUCCUAUGGGCAUGGUUUCUAUUAUGCAAACAAAAUUAGAAGUGAAAUCCUGUAGGCAUGGUUUAUAUUAUGCAAAAGCAAUCAGAUUCAGCAAGAGUAACACCCUAUGAACAUAUUUUCUAUCGAGUAAAGCAGGCAGAUUUGAAAAGUGAGAUCUUCGGAGAAGGAUUUCUACCCAUAUUACCCCACAAAAUAUCUAUCUACCCCCAUUUUCACUAAGGGAAUCUACAAUUAGGACCAAGUCUUCCAAAGCCUCCAAUGGUCUUACAAGCCUCGUUUCCAUAGACAAAUCAGAGUCUAGGUGCACUAAAUUUCCCUAAAGGUCUCAAGGACCCCAGGCAAUACUUACACCUAGACUUAGUAACCAAGCAUUGAACCAUUGCAGUAUGGAAAGGCCAGCCUCAGUAUUCCAGAGUUCAGAGGGCUCUCAAGAGGAACACAAGGCAGUACACAUACUAGAGAUGACAGAACUUAUUAACUAAGAGUGACGGGGAAUUGGAAGACACAAGUUUGAAAGAGUUAUUGAAGACUGUAUUGGAAAUCCUAUUUUGAAAGCACUUAAUAAAGCAACAGAUAUUGCUCGAAAGGAGGUUGGAGUAGUAAACAAGUUUAAACACCUUAGGAAAAGAUCACGCAUAGCUAGUUUUUCAGAAUUCAAUAGUCAUACAGGGGUCAAGGGGUUUGGGGAUACAUAAACAUUUGAAUACAAACACAUGACCCCAACAAUGGGUCUUAGGACUGGUUUGGACAUGCUCAGAGAUAGUUAACACUUGCAUAAUCACAACUAAUCAAGAAAAAUACAAAUACGUAGAAGGGGUGAUAAAGAUGAGAUUCACAAAAAUGAUAAGUACAAAGUAGGUAAAUGAUAAUUGUUCAGGCACACUUUGAAUCACAUAAGGGAAUAUAGUGAUUUAAAGGGAAGGGGAUUCAUACUAACAUGCUGAUAAUGUAACUUAACCAUAAAUUUCACAACAGAAUUACAAGUAGAAGCAAGCUAGAAAUAAAAAAAAUUGAAACAAUAAGAAAAGCAUAUUUUUGUUAGAGCUUUAAAUUAAACUAGGACAUACCAGUGAAGCUAGAAGUAAGCAGAAUGAAAGAACCAAAGUGCACAAAUGAUUAGCUCUAGCUUGCAGCCGGCUAAUAGUAGCAAAUAUCACAAGAGAGAGGGGAAAACAAAGAUUUUUAAUAAGAGAGGAGUUUUGAAAACCAAUUGUUUUUGUUAAUGAAAUACUUAGGGUAUUUAUAGUUGAAAGUAGGUAGUGAGAUAAGGUGAAAAUCAUAGUAGUAUACUAAUUUAAGAACUCAGAAUCAAUCAAUUAGAGAACCAAGGAGGUACUCCCUUAGGUUAAGGGAAUAAAAUCAAACUGGGAGAUUCAAUAUCAUAUAAGGCAAGAAGAAAAAUCAGUGCAUGACUGAAUAAGGAAGGAGUCAAGGUUCAGUAAGCAUAGAGUAGUCGAUUAGGACCAAAUUCAUAAAGCCUUAAUUAAGAACAGAAAUCAAUAGAGAUAAGUAUCAUAUCAAAUAUGGUAAGGAAAUCAGUCGGCUUAAACAGACGGGGUAAAGCUUGUAAGGCUUUAAAAGAAAAUCUUUCAAUGUCCAUCAAGUAAGGAAAUCAGAAUCAAUCAAGAGGGAGUCAUGAUUAUGCAUUUUCAACAUAUAAAUAGAGGAGAUCAAUAGAUGUAGAAAAGGGAAAAGUUAGCCAUAUUGACAGAAAGAAGCAAGAGAUGAAAAAACAAAGUGAACAUAGUCACAUAGAAGUGACAUAAGUAGGCUAGGAAUUUAGUAAAACACAUUCAAAAUAUGGUGAGGGUCUAUUUGGAAACAGUCUCUCUACCCCAAGGUAGGGUAAGGUCUGCGUACACACUACCCUCCCCAGACCCCACUAUAUGGGAUUAUACUGGGUUGUUGUUGUUGUUGUAAACUACUAGCAUCGAAGAUGCUCUUAUUUCCACUACCUCUUAACGGUUGUUACUAAAGUUUAUGACUUUAUCCAUAUAUAGAUAGGGUAUUGAGGGGGGUUUGCUUUUCGUCCAAAGUGUACUUCUUACUUUAUAUACUUGUUUUGCUGAUAUUAGGUAAGAAGAGAUUUAAGGCUCCUCCAAGCAGCUAAUUUGGAGGAGGUUUUGAGUGCCUCCUUUCAAGUUCUUUAUGGAAAAAGACCCAAGCAAAAAGUGCAGCUCUUAGAAAG
rnacentral:lncRNA from 1 species